rnacentral:tRNA from 1 species
CGGGGUAACUCAGCCAGGUAGAGUGCCAGGCUCAUAACCUGGAAGUCGCGGGUUCGAAGCCCGCCCCCGGCA